rnacentral:rRNA from 1 species
UACGAAGGGGGCUAGCGUUGUUUGGAAUUACUGGGCGUAAAGCGCACGUAGGCGGACAUUUAAGUCAGGGGUGAAAUCCCAGAGCUCAACUCUGGAACUGCCUUUGAUACUGGGUGUCUUGAGUAUGGAAGAGGUGAGUGGAAUUCCGAGUGUAGAGGUGAAAUUCGUAGAUAUUCGGAGGAACACCAGUGGCGAAGGCGGCUCACUGGUCCAUUACUGACGCUGAGGUGCGAAAGCGUGGGGAGCAAACAGG